rnacentral:rRNA from 1 species
GCGACCGGAUGCGGAUCUCGAAAGCCUGUCCCAGUUCGGACUGGAGUCUGCAACCCGACUCCACGAAGUUGGAUUCGCUAGUAAUCGCGCAUCAGCCAUGGCGCGGUGAAUACGUUCCCGGGCCUUGUACACACCGCCCGUCACACCAUGAGAGUUGGAGAUACCCGAAGCCUGUGAGCUAACAAACGAGGCAGCAGUCGAAGGUAGAAUCAAUGAUUGGGGUGAAGUCGUAACAAGGUACC